rnacentral:rRNA from 1 species
UACGAAGGGGGCUAGCGUUGCUCGGAAUCAUUGGGCGUAAAGCGCACGUAGGCGGACCAUCAAGUCGGAUGUGAAAUCCCUCGGCUUAACCGAGGACGUGCAUUCGAAACUGAUGGCCUUGAGUACGAAAGAGGAUCGCGGAAUUCCCGGUGUAGAGGUGAAAUUCGUAGAUAUCGGGAGGAACACCAGUGGCGAAGGCGGCGACCUGGGCCAAUACUGACGCUGAGGUGCGAAAGCGUGGGGAGCAAACAGG